rnacentral:rRNA from 1 species
CCUACGGGUGGCUGCAGUGAGGAAUAUUGGUCAAUGGGCGGAAGCCUGAACCAGCCACGUCGCGUGAGGGACUAAGGCCCUACGGGUCGUAAACCUCUUUUGCCGGGGAUCAGUGCCCAGAUCGCGAGCUGGGAGGGAGCGUACCCGGAGGAAAAGCAUCGGCUAACUCCGUGCCAGCAGACGCGGUCAUACGGAGGAUGCGAGCGUUAUUCGGAUUUAUUGGGUUUAAAGGGUGCGUGGGCGGGCCUUCAGGCCUGCGGUAAAAUUGCGGGGCUCAACCCCGGCGAGCCGUCGGAACCGGGGGCCUUGAGUACCAGAGAGGUACGCGGAAUGCGUGGUGUAGCGGUGAAAUGCAUAGAUAUCACGCAGAACCCCGAUUGCGAAGGCAGCGUACCGGCCGGUCACUGACGCUGAGGCACGAAAGCGCGGGUAUCGAACAGGAUUAGAUACCCGGGUAGUC